CAGCCGCCACGGUAAUGCGGAGGGGGCUAGCGUUGUUCGGAAUUACUGGGCGUAAAGCGCACGUAGGCGGCUUGGUAAGUUAGAGGUGAAAGCCUGGAGCUCAACUCCAGAAUUGCCUUUAAGACUGCCGAGCUAGCAGGUGAGAGAGGUAAGUGGAAUUCCGAGUGUAGAGGUGAAAUUCGUAGAUAUUCGGAAGAACACCAGUGGCGAAGGCGGCUUACUGGCUCAUACUGGACGCUGAGGUGCGAAAGCGUGGGGAGCAAACAGGAUUAGAUACCCGUGUAGUCCCUGUCUCUUAUAC
rnacentral:rRNA from 1 species